AACGAACGCUGGCGGCAGGCCUAACACAUGCAAGUCGAACGCCCCGCAAGGGGAGUGGCAGACGGGUGAGUAACGCGUGGGAACCUACCCAGUGGUACGGAACAACCCAGGGAAACUUGGGCUAAUACCGUAUACGCCCCUAGGGGGAAAGAUUUAUCGCCAUUGGACGGGCCCGGGUUGGAUUAGCUAGUUGGUGGGGUAAUGGCCUACCAAGGCAACGAUCCAUAGCUGGUCUGAGAGGAUGAUCAGCCACACUGGGACUGAGACACGGCCCAGACUCCUACGGGAGGCAGCAGUGGGGAAUCUUGGACAAUGGGCGCAAGCCUGAUCCAGCCAUGCCGCGUGAGUGAAGAAGGCCCUAGGGUUGUAAAGCUCUUUCGGCGGGGACGAUAAUGACGGUACCCGCAGAAGAAGCCCCGGCUAACUCCGUGCCAGCAGCCGCGGUAACAC
rnacentral:rRNA from 1 species